ACACAUGCAAGUCGAGGGGCAGCGGGAUUGAAGCUUGCUUCAAUUGCCGGCGACCGGCGCACGGGUGAGUAACGCGUAUCCAACCUUCCGUACACUCAGGGAUAGCCUUUCGAAAGAAAGAUUAAUACCUGAUGGUAUGAUGAGAUUGCAUGAUAGCAUCAUUAAAGAUUUAUCGGUGUACGAUGGGGAUGCGUUCCAUUAGGUAGUAGGCGGGGUAACGGCCCACCUAGCCAACGAUGGAUAGGGGUUCUGAGAGGAAGGUCCCCCACAUUGGAACUGAGACACGGUCCAAACUCCUACGGGAGGCAGCAGUGAGGAAUAUUGGUCAAUGGACGAGAGUCUGAACCAGCCAAGUAGCGUGAAGGAUGAAGGUCCUACGGAUUGUAAACUUCUUUUAUAAGGGAAUAAAACCUCCCACGUGUGGGAGCUUGUAUGUACCUUAUGAAUAAGCAUCGGCUAACUCCGUGCCAGCAGCCGCGGUAAUACGGAGGAUGCGAGCGUUAUCCGGAUUUAUUGGGUUUAAAGGGAGCGCAGACGGGUCGUUAAGUCAGCUGUGAAAGUUUGGGGCUCAACCUUAAAAUUGCAGUUGAUACUGGCGUCCUUGAGUGCGGUUGAGGUGUGCGGAAUUCGUGGUGUAGCGGUGAAAUGCUUAGAUAUCACGAAGAACUCCGAUUGCGAAGGCAGCACACUAAGCCGUAACUGACGUUCAUGCUCGAAAGUGUGGGUAUCAAACAGGAUUAGAUACCCUGGUAGUCCACACGGUAAACGAUGGAUACUCGCUGUUGGCGAUAUACAGUCAGCGGCUUA
rnacentral:rRNA from 1 species